rnacentral:rRNA from 1 species
GACGAACGCUGGCGGCGUGCUUAACACAUGCCAGUCGUACGGUAAGGCCCUUUUGGGGGUACACGAGUGGCGAACGGGUGAGUAACACGCGAGUAACCUGCCCACAACUUUGGGAUAACGCUAGGAAACUGGUGCCAAUACUGGAUAUGUGCUCCUGCGGCAUGGUGGGGGUUGGAAAGCUCCGGCGGUUGUGGAUGGACUCGCGGCCUAUCAGCUUGUUGGUGGGGUAGUGGCCUACCAAGGCGGCGACGGGUAGCCGGCCUGAGAGGGUGACCGGCCACAUUGGGACUGAGAUACGGCCCAGACUCCUACGGGAGGCAGCAGUGGGGAAUAUUGCACAAUGGGCGCAAGCCUGAUGCAGCAGCGCCGCGUGCGGGAUGACGGCCUUAGGGUUGUAAACCGCUUUCAGCAGGGACGAAGCUUUUUGUGACGGUACCUGCAGAAGAAGCACCGGCUAACUACGUG